rnacentral:misc_RNA from 1 species
GAUGAAGAACGUAGUGAAAUGCGAUAAGUAAUGUGAAUUGCAGAAUUCAGUGAAUCAUCGAAUCUUUGAACGCACAUUGCGCCCGUCAGUAUUCUGGCGGGCAUGCCUGUUCGAGCGUCAUUACGCCCCUCAAGUCCCCUGUGGACUUGGUGUUGGGGAUCGGCGAGGCUGGUUUUCCAGCACAGCCGUCCCUUAAAUUAAUUGGCGGUUUCGCCGUGGCCCUCCUCUGCGCAGUAGUAAAACACUCGCAACAGGAGCCCGGCGCGGUCCACUGCCGUAAAACCCCCCAACUUUUUAUAGUUGACCUCGAAUCAGGUAGGACUACCCGCUGAACUUAAGCAUAUCAAUAAGCGGAGGA